GGCAGCCUCGACACAGGAUCGAACUAUGGACCUUCGCAUUACGAGUGCGACGCUCUACCACUGAGCUAUAGAGGCU
rnacentral:tRNA from 3 species